rnacentral:lncRNA from 1 species
UCAAAAUCUGCAUCUAGGAUAGUUACACACAUUCUCAUUCAUAUCUAGAUCAAAUUCUUGGAUUAUUUUCUUUAAGAAUGGUUUCUUAAAGAAAUCGAUCUUUUAUUCAUUGAAUCUACAUAUUCAUCAAUCUGUCAAUCCAGAGUGAGCUGCGGUGCCAUGGGGUGAAUGAGCUGAUGGACUAGCUGCUAUUUCCAUGAAGGACAAGCUACUAGCUUAACAAAGUUUGCUGAAGAAGGUUGCACAUGGAGAUAGUGCUCAUUUCCUAAAUAGACCUAGGAUUGCUUGCGCUUGUG